rnacentral:rRNA from 1 species
AUUGAACGCUGGCGGCAUGCUUUACACAUGCAAGUCGAACGGCAACAGGCCGCAAGGUGCUGACGAGUGGCGAACGGGUGAGUAAUGCAUCGGAACGUGCCCAGUCGUGGGGGAUAACGCAGCGAAAGCUGUGCUAAUACCGCAUAUGAUCUAUGGAUGAAAGCGGGGGACCGUAAGGCCUCGCGCGAUUGGAGCGGCCGAUGUCAGAUUAGGUAGUUGGUGGGGUAAAGGCUCACCAAGCCAACGAUCUGUAGCUGGUCUGAGAGGACGACCAGCCACACUGGGACUGAGACACGGCCCAGACUCCUACGGGAGGCAGCAGUGGGGAAUUUUGGACAAUGGGCGCAAGCCUGAUCCAGCAAUGCCGCGUGCAGGAAGAAGGCCUUCGGGUUGUAAACUGCUUUUGUACGGAACGAAAAGGUUUGGGUUAAUACCCUGGGCCGAUGACGGUACCGUAAGAAUAAGCACCGGCUAACUACGUGCCAGCCGCCGCAGUAAAAC